rnacentral:misc_RNA from 1 species
CUAAGGAGCACCACGAGAAUCAGGCCCGCCCGCAUCGUGUGGGAGUUCGGUGACCUUGGUCGAAUCGUGAAGAUGGCUUGUUCUCUGUAGUGGAGGCAGGUCUGGUGCAUGCAACAAACGUGAGAAGUGGUGUGGGAACACUGCUUUGAGGAAUUGCCGGACACACUAUUGGGCUUUGAGACAACAGGCCCGUGCCCCUUUUUUGUGGGGGUGGCUCCGCGUUGGUGGGGUCGGCGUGUUGUUGCCCUGCUUUGGUGGUGGGGUGUGGUGUUUGAUUUGUGGAUAGUGGUUGCGAGCAUCUGAGCAUGCUGGUCUUUGUGGGCUGGUGUGUUCGGUGUAAUGCAAAUUUUCUGAUAAAUCCCGGCUUCUCCUUUUGUGGGAGGGGUUGGGUGACUCAUUUUUUGGUUUUGUGUUG